rnacentral:rRNA from 1 species
AGUGAACGCUGGCGGUAGGCCUAACACAUGCAAGUCGAACGGCAGCACAGUAAGAGCUUGCUCUUACGGGUGGCGAGUGGCGGACGGGUGAGGAAUACAUCGGAAUCUACUUUUUCGUGGGGGAUAACGUAGGGAAACUUACGCUAAUACCGCAUAUGACCUACGGGUGAAAGCAGGAGAUCUUCGGACCUUGCGCGACUGAAUGAGCCGAUGUCGGAUUAGCUAGUUGGCGGGGUAAAGGCCCACCAAGGCGACGAUCCGUAGCUGGUCUGAGAGGAUGAUCAGCCACACUGGAACUGAGACACGGUCCAGACUCCUACGGGAGGCAGCAGUGGGGAAUAUUGGGCAAUGGGCGCAAGCCUGAUCCAGCCAUGCCGCGUGAGUGAAGAAGGCCUUCGGGUUGUAAAGCCCUUUUGUUGGGGAAGAAAAGCAGCAGAUUAAUACGCCGCUGUUCUGACGGUACCCAAAGAAUAAGCACCGGCUAACUUCGUG